CAAACUAAAGACAAGAGAGGUCCCUCUCUCCUUUCUAAAUGGCAUCUAAACGAUUACAAGAAUCUAAGGUCGCACAAAAAACGGAAAAAAAAUCCGCUAAGCAAGAAAAGAGACUCCCCACCUUUUUCUCCCCCCAAAAGACGCAAGAUCCUAUCGAUGAGUCAUUGUUAGACUCCUCAUUCCUCAACAGCAAUGGCACCCCCUCCAGUGGAAUCAACUGGUAUUACAAUAGACGUAAUAAAAACCCUCUUUGAUGAUACUUUGAAAGAAAUAAAAAAAGAGAUUCAAGAAAACUCUAUUGACCUCAAAAAUGAUAUCUCCAGGUACAACCCGAAAUUAAAC